rnacentral:lncRNA from 1 species
UGGUAGAUGAAGAUGAUUUUGUAGAAUAUUCACCCAAACUUCAAACUCCGAAAAAACAAAACGUGUCUCCUUCCCCCUCAAAACAAAAAAAGAAGAAACCCUCAAAAAAAUCUGCAAAAUUGGUUCUUCAAAAAUUUCAUCAAAGGUAAACAUCUUUUAUUUCUCCUCACUGUUUUGUAGUUUAAUUUUUUUUGCCAAAAAAUAUUCUGCAAGUGUUGUGAUUAAAAGACAUGGUAUAAAUGUAGUUACAGUGUAGUUGAUUUGUAGUCUGCAAGGUAAAUUGUAGCUAUGCUUUUUGUAUUGCAACUUGUAUAGCUGAUACAUUUAACUUCAUGCUCAAUAAAUUUAUAGUACAUUUUUUUCAAGGUUACAUUUUUGAAAAUUCUGUUUUGGUCCUACUUUUGUAGAUUAUUUUGGCUCAAUUUUGUAGUUCAAUUGGAGCAUUCCGUUUAUUAGAUUUAUACAUGUAGUGUAAAUGUAGUCUGUUGAUUAAAACUGUAGGUAUGAUAUGUUACAUUCUAUCUUGUAAUGCUGAUAUAAUGUCAUUCUAUAAUGCUGAUAUAAUGUCAUUCUAACCACAGUUAAUAUACUUUUUUUUGCAGAAUGGACCUUACUUUGCUCAAUGCUGAAAUCUAUCGUCAUUCUAACCAUAGUUAAUAUACUUUUUUUGCAGAAUGGACUUUACUUUGCUCAACAAAAUGUUGAUUAUGGUGUGAUCCGAUUCCGCAGCUCGUGUGAUCCUACAAUACCUAUCCAGAUAAAGGCUUUACUAUCCCCAAAUCAAUUACGUGUUUUCAAGAAAACAUGUUUUGGUUAUUUAUUAGAUCUGCACCCAAUCUGUAUGCAAAACCAGUCCAUUCAUCUUCUAAUGAAGUAUGAGUUGUCAAAGUCUAC